rnacentral:rRNA from 1 species
GCGAAAGCGUGGGGAGCGAACAGGAUUAGAUACCCUGGUAGUCCACGCCGUAAACGAUGAGUGCUAAGUGUUAGGGGGUUUCCGCCCCUUAGUGCUGCAGCUAACGCAUUAAGCACUCCGCCUGGGGAGUACGGUCGCAAGACUGAAACUCAAAGGAAUUGACGGGGGCCCGCACAAGCGGGGGAGCAUGUGGUUUAAUUCGAAGCAACGCGAAGAACCUUACCAGGUCUUGACAUCCUCUGACAAUCCUAGAGAUAGGACGUCCCCUUCGGGGGCAGAGUGACAGGUGGUGCAUGGUUGUCGUCAGC